UAAACCCACACAGAUGGGAUUUGGGCA
rnacentral:piRNA from 1 species